CCUACGGGUGACAGCAGUGGGGAAUAUUGGGCAAUGGGCGCAAGCCUGACCCAGCAACGCCGCGUGAAGGAAGAAGGCUUUCGGGUUGUAAACUUCUUUUCUCAGGGACGAAGCAAGUGACGGUACCUGAGGAAUAAGCCACGGCUAACUACGUGCCAGCAGCCGCGGUAAUACGUAGGUGGCAAGCGUUAUCCGGAUUUACUGGGUGUAAAGGGCGUGUAGGCGGGGACGCAAGUCAGAUGUGAAAGCCACGGGCUCAACCUUUGGCCUGCAUUUGAAACUGUGUUUCUUGAGUACUGGGGAGGCAGACGGAAUUCCUGGUGUAGCGGUGAAAUGCGUAGAUAUUAGGAGGAACACCAGUGGCGAAGGCAGUCUGCUGGACAGCAACUGACGCUGAGGCGCGAAAGCGUGGGGAGCAAACAGGAUUAGAUACCCCAGUAGUC
rnacentral:rRNA from 1 species